UACGUAGGGUGCAAGCGUUGCCCGGAUUUAUUGGGCGUAAAGAGCGUGUAGGCGGCCUGAAAGGUCAGCUGUGAAAACUCGAGGCUCAACCUCGAGACGUCAGUUGAAACCAUCUGGCUAGAGUCCGGAAGAGGAGAGUGGAAUUCCCGGUGUAGCGGUGAAAUGCGCAGAUAUCGGGAAGAACACCCGUGGCGAAGGCGGCUCUCUGGGACGGUACUGACGCUGAGACGCGAAAGCGUGGGAGCGAACAGG
rnacentral:rRNA from 1 species